rnacentral:rRNA from 1 species
GACGUAGGGCGCGAGCGUUGUCCGGAUUUAUUGGGCGUAAAGAGCUCGUAGGCGGCUUGUCGCGUCGACUGUGAAAACCCGUGACUCAACUGCGGGCCUGCAGUCGAUACGGGCAGGCUAGAGUUCGGUAGGGGAGACUGGAAUUCCUGGUGUAGCGGUGAAAUGCGCAGAUAUCAGGAGGAACACCGGUGGCGAAGGCGGGUCUCUGGGCCGAUACUGACGCUGAGGAGCGAAAGCGUGGGGAGCGAACAGG